rnacentral:rRNA from 1 species
ACGGGAGGCAGCAGUGGGGAAUAUUGGGCAAUGGACGCAAGUCUGACCCAGCAACGCCGCGUGAAGGAAGAAGGCUUUCGGGUUGUAAACUUCUUUGACAGGGGAAGAGGAGAAGACGGUACCCUGAAAACAAGCCACGGCUAACUACGUGCCAGCAGCCGCGGUAAUACGUAGGUGGCAAGCGUUGUCCGGAUUUACUGGGUGUAAAGGGCGUGUAGCCGGGUCGGCAAGUCAGGAGUGAAAUCUAUGGGCUUAACCCAUAAAUUGCUUUUGAAACUGCUGAUCUUGAGUAUCGGAGAGGUAAUCGGAAUUCCUUGUGUAGCGGUGAAAUGCGUAGAUAUAAGGAAGAACACCAGUGGCGAAGGCGGAUUACUGGACGACAACUGACGGUGAGGCGCGAAAGCGUGGGGAGCGAACAGGAUUAGAUACCCUGGUA